UACGUAGGGGGGCAAGCGUUGUCCCGGAAUCAUUGGGGCGUAAAGAGCGUGUAGGCGGCUCGGUAAGUCCGCUGUGAAAGUCCAGGGCUCAACCCCUGGAAUGCCGGUGGAAACUGUCGAGCUAGAAUCCGGAAGAGGCGAGUGGAAUUCCUGGUGUAGCGGUGAAAUGCGCAGAUAUCAGGAGGAACACCAAUGGCGAAGGCAGCUCGCUGGGACGGUAUUGACGCUGAGACGCGAAAGCGUGGGGAGCAAACAGG
rnacentral:rRNA from 1 species